GACGAACGCUGGCGGCGUGCUUAACACAUGCAAGUCGAGCGGAAAGGCCACUUCGGUGGUACUCGAGCGGCGAACGGGUGAGUAACACGUGAGUAAUCUGCCCCUGGCUUUGGGAUAGCCACCGGAAACGGUGAUUAAUACCGGAUACGACCACUUCUCGCAUGGGAUGGUGGUGGAAAGUUUUUUCGGCCAGGGAUGUGCUCGCGGCCUAUCAGCUUGAUGGUGAGGUAAUGGCUCACCAUGGCCUCGACGGGUAGCCGGCCUGAGAGGGUGACCGGUCACACUGGGACUGAGACACGGCCCAGACUCCUACGGGAGGCAGCAGUGGGGAAUAUUGGACAAUGGGCGGAAGCCUGAUUCAGCAACGCCGCGCGAGGGAUGACGGCCUUCGGGUUGUAAACCUCUUUCAGCAGGGACGAAGCGCAAGUGACGGUACCUGCAGAAGAAGCACCGGCCAACUACGUGCCAGCAGCCGCCGUAA
rnacentral:rRNA from 1 species